GCAAAUCCCGAGAGCGAGCAGUGCCCAAAGCGAGCAUUCCCCGGUACCGAACCAAAAAACCGAACUCAUCCCGGCCUUUCCCCGGUACCGGAACCGACGCGAUCCGAACCCUCCCGGUGUCCCCUCGCCAUGCGGCCCGCUACCCCCGCCACGCUGCCCGGUACCCCUGGGGCGGCUCCGCGGUAAAACCGGGGUGGUUCCGGUAAAACCGGGUCGGUUCCGGUAAAACCGGGUCGAUUCCCGCUAAAACCGGGGCGGUUCCGGUAAAACCGGGUCGAUUCCCGGUAACACCGGUUGUCUAUUCCCGUUCCCCCCGGUUGUUUCCCAUUCCCCGGUUGUCUCUGGUUCCCGGCUGUCUCUGUUCCCCGGUCAUCUCCCGGUUCCCCGGCUGUCCCGGUUCCCGGUCACCUCCCCCUUCCCGGCUGUCUCCAUUCCCCGGUCGUCUCCCGGUUCCCGGCUGUCCCGGUUCCCCGGCUGUCUCCAUUCCCCGGCUGUCUCCAUCCCCCCGGCUGUCCCGGUUCCCCGGCUGUCCCGGUUCCCCGGUUGUGUCCCGUUCUCCGGCUGUCCCGUUCCCCGGCUGUCCCGGUUCCCGGCUGUCUCCAUUCCCCGGUCACCUCCCGGUUCCCGGUUCCCCGGCUGUCCCGGUUCCCGGUCAUCUCCCGUUCCCCGGUCAUCUCCCAGUUCCCCGGUCAUCUCCCGUUCCCCGGCUGUCUCCGUUCCCCGGUCAUCUCCCGUUCCCCGGCUCCCCCGUUCCCCGGCUGUCCCGGUUCCCGGUUCCCCGUUCCCCGGCUGUCCCGGUUCCCGGUUCCC
rnacentral:lncRNA from 1 species